AUGAACGCUGGCGGCGUGCCUAAUACCUGCACGUCGAGCGAACAGAUGAGGAGCUUGCUCCUCUGACGUUAGCGGCGGACGGGUGAGUAACACGUGGAUAACCUACCUAUAAGACUGGGAUAACUUCGGGAAACCGGAGCUAAUACCGGAUAAUAUAUUAAACCGCAUGGUUCAAUAGUGAAAGACGGUUUUGCUGUCACUUAUAGAUGGAUCCGCGCCGCAUUAGCUAGUUGGUAAGGUAACGGCUUACCAAGGCAACGAUGCGUAGCCGACCUGAGAGGGUGAUCGGCCACACUGGAACUGAGACACGGUCCAGACUCCUACGGGAGGCAGCAGUAGGGAAUCUUCCGCAAUGGGCGAAAGCCUGACGGAGCAACGCCGCGUGAGUGAUGAAGGUCUUCGGAUCGUAAAACUCUGUUAUUAGGGAAGAACAAAUGUGUAAGUAACUAUGCACGUCUUGACGGUACCUAAUCAGAAAGCCACGGCUAACUACGUG
rnacentral:rRNA from 1 species